rnacentral:lncRNA from 10 species
AUUUACUUGCUGUUUUCUCUCCCCUUCAACUUGUUUUCAGCUCAUAUAAGUUAUUUUCCUUAAGUUCUGUUUGUUGUGGCCUGAUGCUAACAAUGUUUUCUAAAAGUCUAAAGGAAAUGUUUUCUUCCAAAGUAAUACUCUGUGCAGUGUAGAAGGUCUUUUCUUUUGCCUUUUGGUAAUUGACCUAACAGAUUUUAUGGCUUAUUGAAACAAUUCCUAUGCCAUUAUUAUUAAUUUUUGGUUUGCUUAGGAAAAAGAAACUGAGACAAUUUUUUUAAAAAAUUAACGUUAUUACAUCCAUGUAUAUUUCUGUGUGCACUUUGAAAGUACCUGUGACAUUGAGUUACCGGCCUUUAACUCCUGGAUCUAAAAAGGAGACCAAGAUCUGCUAAAUCUUAAACACUGACAGCAAUUAAAACCUCAUCUUCAGGCCUGGUAGAAGAUGCCUAUCAAAAUAAGCUGCAUUUCUGAGACAUAAGGCCAUAAAUCAAAGCUAUUCAACUCUUCAAGACUCAGGAACAAUCACAGAAGAGGUUUCUAAUAACUCUGGAGAUUGUGACAUCACAAUGAAGGAAAAGCUUUCAGGACUCAUGGAGACCUGAAAUGUUCAUGAAUAGCAAGCAGAACAGGAAUUAACUGCAUGAACUGAACUAACAGAAGACUGAAGACACGAUAAAUUGGUCAUUUUACCAAGGCUUUUACUUGAAUGGUGUGCUCUUCUUUGAGGAAUCAAACUUGACUUAUGGAGCCAAUAAAAGCCCCUUGGGAGAACUGGCCUCAUACCUUAUCUACACAGUCCCUGUACAGGGUUCCUGACCUGUGGUAAGUAAAGCAUGUCACUUUCUAACAGUUCCAGGAGCCCCAAGUUUAUCUUGGAACCUCAAGAGGAGAGGAAUUCACCCAACUCAUAGGUAUUUGAUGGUACAAAUCCAUGGCUAGGCUAAGCUUUCCAAAAGUCUUAUCCGAAAUUCCUUCUAUGGAACAAAGUUCUGAUAGGGCCAGGGGACAGAGAAAUUCUAGGCAGAAAAGGAUAGGUCUCUGACAAAACCCCACCUUCAAGCUGAAAAGCCUUAAACCAUGGCCCAAAGUGACAACUUAUAUCCCUGUUUUCCUGCUUGAAAGUUGCCUUUUUCUAAACCACUCAUGGCCCCAUCCUGUCCCAUCCUGUGCCUGUGAAGAUCUCAGACUGAGCUGGCAGAGGCAAGAAGCAGCUGGAUGUUGGGGACUACAGCCGGACAUCAGAGAGAAGCAGCUUGACUGCAGAGGGACAGCUUGAUGGUGUAACCUUGGAGAAGAAUCCGGCUGGAUACAGCCUAACUUUGAGGAAGAUUACCUACCCACCCCAUCCUUUUUCAGCUCCCUUCCUGCUAAGAGCCACUUUCAUCAGCAACAAAAUCCCCCACAUUUACCAUCCUUUGAUUGGUUCAUGUGACCUCACCUUUCCUGGACACCCGACAAGAGCUUGGGAGCCAGGAGAGCAGAUACAAAAGGCUGUCACACUGGCCUUCUGCUCUUGCUGUUGGAGGGCAGCUGCCUCAUGCAAAAAGGCAGAGGGCUCACUGAGCUGUUGACACUUAAGCCAUCCAUGGAAGGCAGAGUUAAAAGAGCACUGUAACAUGACUUCUGGGGCUAUGGGAGUUGCAGGCACCUCCACCUAGAUGCUGCUGUGGGGCCCGCACAGAGUUUGCUCCUGCCAGCACCCAAAAGCACUCACUCUGGCUCCUGCACCCAUUCACCUGCAUGCUUCCUUCCAUGAGCAGGGGACUGCAGCAGGUCCAAGUGAGUGAAGUUUGAUCCUGCAGCACUGAAGUGCUGAUUCCAGCACUCAUGCACUCCAGUUCCUGCCUCAUUUGCUUGCAUGCUCUCUCCUGCAAGGAGGUGAGAGUGGCAGGCUGAAUAAAUGAGGCCCUGUCACAAGUCCCACAGAAGGGUCAGGGAAACAUCCUGCUUCGCUUCCAUCAAAGAGAAUUUAAAAGCUUAUGCAAAAAAAUUAUUACUAUUACUAUGACUGUGCUGUAUACAAUAAUCAGGUCAAGUAUAAUAAAGCAAAUCAGCUCUGCCAUGAUUUGUCUUUAGUAAAAAUGGUAAAUGGGAGAGAGAAGAAUUGUUUCAAAAAAUGAUAGUACACCUGUUGUUAGAUUCUAGUCUUGCCUAAUGUUUUUCCAUUUUUAUUAAUUUUUACAGUUUGGACUGAAUUCUAAUUUUUCUUGGCUACAGGUCUUCAAAAGAUUGUCUUCAGUUUUUUUCUUCUUCUUCUUUCCACCAUUUUUCCUAAUUUGGAGUCACCGAAAACUCAUCUGUGCUUUUAUAAAGCCCUGUGAACUGCAGCUAUAAGAUUUAAACUUCAGAAGAAAAUAUUAGCAACCUUUUCACAUACGUGAGCCUCUUUCAUACCUGCCUACUGAUAUAUGGACUUCCGAGUAAUGUGGCCCAUAUUGAUUUUCCAGGAUUGUUCUUUUGUUUAUUUUUGUUUUUCUCCCUUCCUUUCCCUAUUUUCUCUUCAUAGGACAUGAAACUUCACAACCUGCUAAAAAUGAACUUUCCUAAUAACUCAGGAAUUAUCUUUCUAGGAAUAAACAAUCCUAGCCAUGAGAUAUCAGAUGAAACUUGAGACCAAAGACUGACUUUCUUCUAAAAUGCUUUCUCAAAAAGAUUUUUAAGAAGAAAUGGGCGGAAAUGUGAAAGGAAAAUAAACCUUGGGGCCCUGAAAUCACUAAGGUAAAGGGGAAAGUCAAGCUGGGAACUGCUUAGGGCAAACCUGCCUCCCGUUCUAUUCACAGUCACCCCUCUGCUCACAGAGAUAAAUGCAUAUCUGAUUGCCUCCUUUGGAAAGGCUAAUCAGAAACUCUGAAGAAAGCAACCAUUUUUCUCUUAUCUACCUAUGACCUGGAAGCCCCUCCCCACUUAGAGUUGUCCCGGCCUUUUCCGGACGGAACCACUGUUCAUCUUACAUAUGUUGAUUGAUGUCUCAUGUCUCCCUAAAAUGUAUAAAACCAAGCUGUGCUCUGACCACUUUGGGCACCUGUCUUCAGAACCUCCUGAGGCUGUGUCACAGGUGUACAUCCCCAACCUUGGCAAAAUAAACUUUCUAAAUAAACUGAGACCUGUCUCCGAUUUUGCGGGUUCAGAAGGCUAUACUGAAUUGUCCCCUGUGUGAAGCCCAGCAGGAGCCUUUCACAGCAGGUUCUUUUCACUUGAACCUUUGUGCAUCAGCACCUAACUCUUUCGCAAGAUAAGGGGUCCUACGGAAUACCAGCAGACCCACCAGAGGGUUACAAAUUCCUGAUACCUAGUACAACCUGGGAAAGAGAGCAAAAGCCCUUUAUUCCUGAUGUAGCUUCCCCAAUCUCUAGCCAAUUUGCACCAAAAGCCCAAGAAACUCCUAACUACAAAUUCCUUCCAGGGGUGGGGUGUGUGGGAGGGUGGGCAGGGACUUCUCUGGGGUCCUGCAUGCACAGCUAGGCUCAAGGUUCAGCUUAUAGUAACCUUUUCCUCAUUUU